rnacentral:rRNA from 1 species
AUUGAACGCUGGCGGCAGGCUUAACACAUGCAAGUCGAGCGGAGAGAGGUAGCUUGUUACUGAUCUUAGCGGCGGACGGGUGAGUAAUGCUUAGGAAUCUGCCUAUUAGUGGGGGACAACAUUUCGAAAGGAAUGCUAAUACCGCAUACGUCCUACGGGAGAAAGCAGGGGAUCUUCGGACCUUGUGCUAAUAGAUGAGCCUAAGUCGGAUUAGCUAGUUGGUGGGGUAAAGGCCUACCAAGGCGACGAUCUGUAUCGGGUCUGAGAGGAUGAUCCGCCACACUGGGACUGAGACACGGCCCAGACUCCUACGGGAGGCAGCAGUGGGGAAUAUUGGACAAUGGGCGCAAGCCUGAUCCAGCCAUGCCGCGUGUGUGAAGAAGGCCUUAUGGUUGUAAAGCACUUUAAGCGAGGAGGAGGCUACUUUAGUUAAUACCUAGAGAUAGUGGACGUUACUCGCAGAAUAAGCACCGGCUAACUCUGUGCCAGCCGCCGCAGUAAAAC